rnacentral:rRNA from 1 species
UAUCAAUAAGCGGAGGAAAAGAAACCAACAGGGAUUGCUCUAGUAACGGCGAGUGAAGCAGCAAUAGCUCAAAUUUGAAAUCUGGCGUCUUCGGCGUCCGAGUUGUAAUUUGUAGAGGAUGCUUCUGGGCAGCCACCGACCUAAGUUCCUUGGAACAGGACGUCAUAGAGGGUGAGAAUCCCGUAUGCGGUCGGAAAGGCACCCUACACGUAGCUCCUUCGACGAGUCGAGUUGUUUGGGAAUGCAGCUCUAAAUGGGAGGUAAAUUUCUUCUAAAGCUAAAUAUUGGCCAGAGACCGAUAGCGCACAAGUAGAGUGAUCGAAAGAUGAAAAGCACUUUGGAAAGAGAGUUAAAAAGCACGUGAAAUUGUUGAAAGGGAAGGGAUUGCAACCAGACUUGCUCGCGGUGUUCCGCCGGUCUUCUGACCGGUCUACUCGCCGCGUUGCAGGCCAGCAUCGUCUGGUGCCGCUGGAUAAGACUUGAGGAAUGUAGCUCCCUCGGGAGUGUUAUAGCCUCUUGUGAUGCAGCGAGCGCCGGGCGAGGUCCGCGCUUCGGCUAGGAUGCUGGCGUAAUGGUUGUAAUCCGCCCGUCUUGAAACACGGACCAAGGAGUCUAACAUCUAUGCGAGUGUUCGGGUGUCAAACCCCUACGCGUAAUGAAAGUGAACGGAGGUGAGAACCGCAAGGUGCAUCAUCGACCGAUCCUGAUGUCUUCGGAUGGAUUUGAGUAUGAGCAUAGCUGUUGGGACCCGAAAGAUGGUGAACUAUGCCUGAAUAGGGUGAAGCCAGAGGAAACUCUGGUGGAGGCUCGCAGCGGUUCUGACGUGCAAAUCGAUCGUCAAAUUUGGGUAUAGGGGCGAAAGA